rnacentral:rRNA from 1 species
CAGUAGCCACGGUAAUACGUAGGGUGCAAGCGUUGUCCGGAAUUAUUGGGCGUAAAGGGCUCGCAGGCGGUUUCUUAAGUCUGAUGUGAAAGCCCCCGGCUCAACCGGGGAGGGUCAUUGGAAACUGGGAAACUUGAGUGCAGAAGAGGAGAGUGGAAUUCCACGUGUAGCGGUGAAAUGCGUAGAGAUGUGGAGGAACACCAGUGGCGAAGGCGACUCUCUGGUCUGUAACUGACGCUGAGGAGCGAAAGCGUGGGGAGCGAACAGGAUUAGAUACCCCCGUAGUCCCUGUCUCUUAUAC